rnacentral:lncRNA from 1 species
UCCCAUUUAAGUACAUAAAUCCGCUGCCCCUUGGUGCGCAACAAGCCGCCUUCUACCCAGAAUUGCUUGGUUUUGCCUUCUUUAGCCAUCUGCAUGAGUUGCUUGGCUAGAGGAUCAUGCGCCAUGCCUUCCUUAAUAAGGUUUUGGACAAGUCUUGACGUAUAACUCUAUGUCGUCCCGCAUGCGAGGCCAAUAGUAGUUAACCUCUACCAAAGCUUGAGUGCGUUUUUGACCUGGAUGACCAGCCCAGCGGGUGUCAUGGCACUCCUUAAUGAUACUUUUGCGCAACCUCUCCCAUUUAGGUACAUAAAUCUGCUGCCCCUUGGUGCGCAACAAGCCGCCUUCUACCCAGAAUUGCUUGGUUUUGCCUUCUUUAGCCAUCUGCAUGAGUUGCUUGGCUAAAGGAUCAUGCUCCAUGCCUUCCUUAAUAAGAUCUAAGAGCUCCACCUAGACUCUUGACAUUGCUGCGAAUUCUGAUUUUCGGCUAAGCGCAUCUGCCACAAAGUUGGCCUUGCCCGGUUUGUGUUCCAACACGUAGUCGAACUCGGCCAAGAAAUCUUGCCAUCUUGCUUGCUUGGGGCUGAGUUUCUUCUGUGUUUGAAAAUAACUUGUCGC